rnacentral:rRNA from 1 species
CCUUACGGCCAUACCACCCUCAGUAUGCCCAAUCUCAUCUAAUCUCAGAAGCUAAGCAGGGUCAGGUCUGCUUCAUACCUGAAUGGGAGACCGCCUGAGAAGGCCAGAUGCUGUAAGCU